GGGGCGGUAGCUCAGUUGGUAGAGCGCUUGAAUGGCAUUCAAGAGGUCAGGGGUUCGAUCCCCCUUCGCUCCA
rnacentral:tRNA from 1 species